UUUUUUUUUUUUUUUAAAGAAAAGGACAAAGUGACACAGAAAAUUGACUCCUUAUUGAGCUGGCACUGUUGGGGAACUAGGUGCUCUCCAAAGAUGAUGCGCUUUCAAGAGCAAUUUUUUCUUCUUUGUCUGUCUUUUAGGGCCACACCGGUGGCACAGGGAGGUCCCCAGGCUAGGGGUCCAGUCGGAGCUGUAGCCGCCGGCCUACACCACAGCCACAGCCACGCGGGAUCCAAGCAGCGUCUGCGACCUACACCACAGCUCAGGGCAAUGCUGGAUCCUUAACCCGCUGAGCGAGGCCAGGGAUCGAACCCUCGUCCUCACGGAUGCUAGUCGGGGUCGUCAACCAUGGAGCCACGACGGGAACUCCCCAAGAGCAAUUUUUGUAUUCUGAAGAUGUCCACUCUUUCUAAAACACACUCUCUAAACUUGUCAAUCCGAAUCUAAGCCAUCACGAUUAUUUAAUGCUGCUCCCAUUAGACUAGUGCCCUCAAGGGUUAGAGAGGCCCUGCUGUUCAGCUUCUGGCCCCCCAACCUGUUUCAUCUCUCGCUCCUCUCCCAUGUGCAGUCCUGCCAUCCCUUCCCCUGACCCAACCAGCACUGCUUGCCACACUUCUAAUCGGCCUUGGCCUGGGAGGCCAGGUAACCUAAGCUUUUUUUUUUUAACUAACCUAAGCUUUUUAUCUUCACACAUUUAAACCCUAUCUACCUCAUUUGAUCUGAAGUGCCUCAAAACAGCUGGAUUCUCUGGUUUUAAAGUAGCUCUUAGAAUCCCCAGCACCUAGCAUUCUGUUCCUGGGUAGGAGAGCUCUUCCAUCAAUGGAUGCGGAUGAUAAACUUUCUGCAGCGCCUUUUCUUCAAGUAGAAUGCAUAUGGGCUUUAUGACAGCUGUUUCCAUCCAUUUAGCUUUUCUGCUUACUUCCACAUUCCCAGCUGUGUUCUGGAUGGCUGGGCCGGCCAGAAGCCUAGGGAUUUACUGUACUUCUAUUUCUUGAUAAGAUACUUGAAGAGAAUAAACACAUGGCAAAGAGGACAUUAAAGUAAGGGAUAAAGAGACUUUUUAAAAUUUUACCAAUAAAGAGAGAGGGAAGAAAUAGCACCGAGCACGCUGACACUUAAUCAAUAAACAACAGCAAGGCUGGAUUCCUUUCUAAUUCUCUCCAAAGUACUCUCAGUGUCCUAGGCUUAUAUCUCUACCCUCGGCAAAGCAUCCCUGGUUAUGGCACAGACUUGCACCUUGAUUCAAAAAUAGUUUUCCCCAAGUUGCACAGACCUUCCUCUUAAAACCAAGUCGGCCAAAAUGAAAACAAGCACACACUGAGUCUAAAGGAAGGCGCUCUCCGGAGAUAACACUGGUGCGAAGUUCAUCGGAAAAUUGAGAAAUCCCAGACUCUCGGGGAUGGAAAGGGUUUCAGAGACCAUCCUCUAGGGUGGUGGUUCUCAGCCACGGCUGCUCGUGAGAACCACUGAGGGGCUUUGAAAAAAAGGACCAUUAACCUGGCCCCACUGCCAGGCAUUAGUGGACUUUUAAGAGCUGUCCAGGUGGUUCUAAAGCGUAGCCGGGAUUGAGAAUCCAGUAUUCCAACAACCCCACUCCCACGGUUCAAAUGAAGGACCAAGAGCCUCACCAAAGAUAUCAGACAACUCACGGGUCAUGGAGCUAGGCUAGAGCUGCUCUUACCAAGAAACCAUGGCCUCUCCAGGUAACCUCCUCCAUCUGGGACAGUGGCGUUUCCUGUUUCUCCCCCGUGUCCCAUCAUUUCCUCUUUUCAGUACAACAGUAUCCGCACUCAUCCGGAGUAAAUGCAUCUUCUGCAUACACUGUGCUGCGGAAGGCCACUGCAUCAUUCUUGAAAAUCUCACCUAGCUCUGACUGUUUGCCUGGAGCCCCCUGGCUUCUUUUCUAGUUCCCCUCCAUGAACUCUGGAGGGUUAAUGGGACAUGGCUUCCCCUUCAAGAAGCCCCACUGCUCUUCCUCCGAGAAGCUGGACUCAGCUCACACUCUGCGCCGAUAUCAUCACAUGGGCCCUCUUACAAAUCCCUGGCAAGGUUCACCUCCGAUUCCCUUUCAGGGCACUUAACUUCUAGUUUGUACCUGCCCUGCCCUACACCUUGUGGACUUCCCUCUUUUCCUGGCUUCAACUCUUUCCAUUUAGUGAAAGAUGCCUUUUUCCCUGAGCAGCCUCUUUCACUCUGCCAGUUAGUCAUGCCCGGUUCUUUUUUGCUUCCCUCAAGCAGCUGGUCUUUUUGAUGUCUGGCACACAUUGAUCUGGGCUUCCAAUAAGAUGUUUUUACAUAGUUUGCAGGUUUCCUGGAGGUCACUGACUUUUGUAACUCUCCCAUUCAAAUUUUUCCCCCUAAUUUCUAACAUUUGUUAAGAGUUUCUUUUUCAAGAGUUGAAUACCUGGCUGAUGGAUCGCUUUGAUUUUUCACUCCCACCAGAUUGCUGAAUGAAAUGCAUCAGAACUUAAAUAUAAUAUUUCCAAUUACCUCCAGAACGGAAUCGCUUUGUUACACUUUCAUGUUCUGUAUGGUAAGCAACAGAUGUUUAAGCGCAUGGAGUUGAAAAUGCUACCUUUAACCUGCUCGUAUUUUUAGUGUGUCUCCCUACAGAAGGUAUCCUGCUAUCCUUAUGAAGCCUGUGUUCUUCCCUUGGGAAAGACGGGCAAGGUACGACUUUUAAAAAGGUCACUCGUGUGCACUGAACAGUGCUGUCUGCUGAAUCUCAGGUGUUAAAUUACUCUUCUACAUUGGCCCUAAAUUGCCGAAUCACAAACGUCUCAGCUGUUUGUUUCUUAAAGAAGUGUAUCAUCUCAAAGCAGGAAGAAAGCAGAAUUGAGAAUCCUUCUGGAAAAUUCCUGUAGCACUCGGUUAUUAAUGAAGUGGUAAAGACAAGUUCUCCCCCAAAGAAUAAAAACAUUCUCCAAGUUAUAACAACAUUUCUAGGAGAUUUACUUGAAAUUUAUUUCACUUCAGAAUGUUUAGACCCAAAAGCCUCCCAGGAGAGCAAGGCCGGGGAAUGACAAUCUAUCAGCAAGGCAGUCUAAUCCCAUUCCUCCUGCCAGAGGAUGCGAUAGAAUUGUCUAUGUCAUCCCCCCACUUGUUGAACAAAUACUGCACUGCGCCAGGGCACUUGGUACUACUGGGCACACAAAACGCCAGGAGCUGCCAUCUGCCCUCAGCCUGCCCACAGCCAAGGCGAGAAGACACCCAAGGGCCUGCUCAUGCGAUUCACCAUGAGACAACGAUCAUGGAUCCGAAUCAAGCUGGGUGGGAGGUGGCGGGUGGGGGGGUAGAUUUGGAGGAAGAGGGCACAUUCCCCUGGGGCGUUCAGAAGUGACUCCCAGAAACCACCUUCCCUGCCUUACCGUCCCUGUGCCUCACCAGCCCUUCAUUCGCAGCACCCCUUGUUAAUCUUCCUGAAAGAGCGAUGGCAUCCCGUCCUCAGAAACUAUCCUUGGCUCCCUAUGACCCAGGAAAGACCAUUUCAUUCCUCCUCCUGUUAACAUGGGAUGGACUGGGAGGCGGGUUAAUAGAUGCAAACUGCGCUGCUGGGACCGUGGUGGAGGCCGGCGGCUACAGCUCCGCUUGAACCCCGAGCCUGAGAACCUCCAUAUGCCGCAGGUGCAGCCCUAAAAAGCAAAAAAUAAAAUAAAAUAGAUGCAAACUCUUGCAUUUAGAGUAGAAAAGCAAUGAGAUCCUGCUGUAUAGCACAGGGAACUAUAUCCAGUCAUUUAUGAUGGAACAUGGUGGAGAAUAAUGUGAGAAAGAGAAUAUAUGUGAGCGUGUGUGUGACUAGGUCACUUGUGCUAGACAGUAGAAAUUGACACAACACUGUAAAUCAACUGUAAUGGAAAAAAUAAAAAUCAUAAAAUAAAAAAACUUUUAAAAGGUUGUCUACUACACUAUACAGAUUGUCUACACUCUGCCUGCAAAGGACAGGAUUGGAUCCUGCUUACUACAGUCAUCAGAACAGCACCACGGGAGUUGCCCGGUGGUGCAGUGGGUUAGGGAUCCGGUGCUGUCACCACAGAGGCUCAGGUUACUGCUGUGGCACAGGUUCCGACCCUGGCUGGGAACUUCCAUAUGCAAUGGGCACGGACAAAAAAAAAAAAUCAAUCAAUCAAUCAAUUAAUUAAAAGAAUACAUCCCUUUCAAUCUCAGUUUCCUAAUCUGUAAAGUGGGGGUGACGAUGUAUACUCAUUCUGAUUUCAUAUGGUUUUGCUGUGGACUUUAAAUAUCAAUUUUAGGACCAGGCCCAGGGAAAGCACUUAAAUAAUUACUCGCUCUUUUCAUGAGGAAAAAUGCUUUUUAGGGGAACCACCUAAGUGCUAAACCAGUUAAUGUUGUUGGGGAGCCAGAGACUCACUUCCAGCUGAGGUGAACCCUGAAGUUGUUUCCCUUGAUGAGAUAAAAAAAAACAAACUCCGUUCACCUCACACCAGUCAGAAUGGCCAUCAUCAAAAAGUCUACAAUCAAUAAAUGCUGGAGAAAGGGGAACCCUCCUACACUGUUGGUGGGAAUGGUACAACCGCAAUGGAGAACACUAUGGAAAUUCCUUAAACGCUAAAAAUAGAACUACCAUAUGAUCCAGCCAUCUCACUCCCGGGCAUCUAGCCCAGAGAAAACCGUAUUUCAAAAAGAUACAUGCACCUCAAUGUUCACUGCAGCACUAUUUACAAUAGCCAAGACUUGGCAACGACCUAAAUGUCCAUCAACAGAGCAAUGGAUAAAGACGACGUGGUAAAUGCAUACAAUGGAAUAUUACUCGGCCAGAAGAAAGGAGGGAAUGCCAUUUGCAGCAAUAUGGAUGGACCCAGAAAUGAUUAUACAGAGUGCGGUCAGAGAAAGACAAAUCAUGACAUCACUAAUAUGAGGAAUUUAAUUUUUAAAAGUUAUUAUUACAAAAUAAUUUACAGGACAGAAAUUGACUCAAAGAUUUAGAAACCAAACUUAGGGCUACCAAAGGGUGAACACGGCAGGGGGGAUAAAUUGGGAGGUUGGGAUUAACCUAUACACACUACUACAUAUGAUAAAAUAGAUAAGUAACAAGGACCUACGGCACAGCACAGGGGAAUCUACGCAAUAUUCUAUUAUUACCUAUAUGGGAAACGAAUCUGAAAAAGAGUGGAUAUAUAGAUUAUGUGUAACUAUUCACUUUGCUGUACACCUGAGACACUGUAAGCCAAGUAUAUGCCAAUAAGUUUUUUAAAAAUAAACUUUUUUAAAUUUCCUUUUUCAUUCCUCAGUCUAGUCUCCCAACUAAUCCUGAAAUUGCAUGCAACCCGGUAUGAGUCAAAUAAAAAAAGGAAAAGAGUAAUUACACCGAAUCAAACAUUUUAUAGUUGUAUGUUCUAACUAGAGCUUGAACUGCAGAUGCCAGGACGUUUACCAAGUUCUUUCUGGAGACUACCUAGGCGAUGGUUCCUAUAUUCCUUGAGGUAAUUUCUAUACUGGCAGGCCCUGUGGCUCAAUUAGAGCCUCUUCUCAAGGGAAACAGAGAGCCAAACCAACCCGUGCUUCCAACAGAAGAGAAAAACCACAAGUUCUCUGCAAAAUCCAACCACCUACUUCAAGUAGGGAAGAGGGAAUACGACUCAUGAAGACAUCGGCCAGGUCUUACAAUGAACAAUUGACGCAGUAUCACAAAAUAUUCCCACUUUUCCAACACACGAAAUCCUAACACAGCUUAUGUGAUCCCCAGAAUCCUUUCAGGUGUGCAUGCGAGCCUGCCUACGCUCACAGGUGCACUGCUCGUGAACGUGAAUGGGAACAGGGAAAAAACAAAAACAAAACGAAAAAAAAAAACAAAAACAACUCCAAAAUCACAACUGCGAUGCAAAGUUCUCCCUAGUAUCAUUCAAUGUCACUGUGGUAGGGCCCUUUGGCAAGCUCUAAGAAGGUUUCUAACUAAUGGCUUCGCUCUUCACGACAAUGUCAAACCAAGAUUAGAUUAAGAAUAAAAUGCCAAUUGUGUCAUAUCCUUUAUCCUGCCCUUAUGGAGCGAGGCACAAUGAGGGUAGGAUUUUACCACUUCCAGUUAUCACUGGUAUUAAUUUUACUAUUGAAUCCCCACUAGCGGGUUAGGACCCUAUUCCAAAUCCCCUCUCCCUUGAACUCCUGGUGCACGACCUUCUCUUCUGCAUCACUGGUGUGCUACUUAGCACACAGCAUGCUCUGUUCCAAUCGUGUGCGUGCGUGUGUGUGUGUGUGUGUGUGUGUGUGUGUGUGUGUACUCGCGGCUUAUCUCCCUACUACCCGGAAAAGUCCUGGCGGCCGAGGAGGCCCUCCUGUCCUUGCUGCCUCUCCCGGUGCUGAGCAUAGAAUGGUGCACACAGUAGGCGCUCCAAAAGAUCUGCCCAUUGAAAGCUGAACCAAAAAACCCUACGUUUUGUGUUCCAGAUCCCUCUUCAUCAUGGCAUCUGAGCCACCCGUUGUCAUUUGGUGAAGUACCAGGGUCCAGCAGAGAGGCAAGGCAGGACCUCAGCUGGAGGCCCUGUCAACAGGCGGUACUCCCUGACACCCUUGAGAGCACAUCAACUUAUCUUAAUUAUGAUCUGAAAAGACUUCGAGUCCUUAAGAACCUGGAGUGUGCUUAACGCCCAUUCAAGCUUCUGGAAGGCAAGUGCAAGGCCACGAGGAAUCAAACCUUCACCUUGGGGCUAAGCCUGGAGCUGGGCACCCAGACGCUGUGACCCUGGUGCCUGGAAAACAAUCUGGGAACUUAUACCCCCUCCGACCAAGGAAAGCGCCUGGCAAUUCACUCAGUCAAGUUGCUACAAUGACUCUGCUCUCCAAAAUGACCGAAAUUAUCUGAGUGGAGCCCAGGGAAGCCAAGGACAAUGUCGGCAUCUGGAGAGGCCAGGGUGAUGGUAAAGGAUUACCGCUGUUUCUAUACGGGCCGCCGAAAGGUAUUUACUUGGGUCUGUCUGUGUUGUGACAGUGUCCUAGACUCAAAUGAAUGCCUCUAACACUCCACAUUUUUGAGCCAUUCAGUCAUGCAUUUUUGUUAUUGUUGAAAGUGGUGCGAAAUCGCACUGCAUGAGCUAAAGUCCUUGGUGGUCUUCCAAGGAUUCCAGCUAAAAAGGCACUUCCUUUGUUCCUCGGGAGAAUGCAGUCCAGUAGGUCAUUCAAAAGGGGAAAUAAAAGCAGCAGCCCUGGGAGGGAGAUGAAGGACAAGACAAAAAGAAUAAAAUGUUUUGGGUGUGAGCACAUGAGCUUCCAUUUCCUGCUGC
rnacentral:lncRNA from 1 species